rfam:Chlorocebus sabaeus isolate 1994-021 chromosome 13, whole genome shotgun sequence.
UGGCGCCCGAACAGGGACCUGGAAACGAGGGACUCCGUGAGGAAGAGGACGCCAAAGGACGGUCGACCGCUAACGAACACAAAAGAAAGUGAACUCUUCCGAUCACCGCGGGAACCUGCCGCGUCAGAAUCGAAGGUAAGUGACGCGUCCGAAAUGGGACAAGAAUUAAGCCAACAUCAGAUCUAUNNNNNNNNNNUGAGGAAGAGGACGCCAAAGGACGGU